rnacentral:rRNA from 1 species
CCUACGGGAGGCAGCAGUGAGGAAUAUUGGUCAAUGGGCGGGAGCCUGAACCAGCCAAGUCGCGUGAGGGAAGACGGUCCUACGGAUUGUAAACCUCUUUUGCCGGGGAGCAACGGGGUCCUUGCGAGGGCCCGAUGAGAGUACCCGGAGAAAAAGCAUCGGCUAACUCCGUGCCAGCAGCCGCGGUAAUACGGAGGAUGCGAGCGUUAUCCGGAUUUAUUGGGUUUAAAGGGUGCGUAGGCGGACUGUCAAGUCAGCGGUAAAAUACGGGGGCUCAACCUCCGCCCGCCGUUGAAACUGACGGU